UAGUUUGAUCCUGGCUCAGGACGAACGCUGACGGUGUGCUUUAGACAUGCAAGUCGAACGAGAAAGCCCUUCGGGGUUAGUAAAGUGGCGAACGGGUGCGUAACACGUGGGCAAUCUGCCCCUCGCAGGGGGACAACUGGAGGAAACUCCAGCUAAUACCCCGUAAGCUUUCAGGGUCGCAUGGCCUUGUAAGGAAAGGUAGCUUCGGCCAUCCGGCGAGGGAUGAGCCCGCGGUACAUUAGCUAGUUGGUGGGGUAACGGCCUACCAAGGCGACGAUGUAUAGCUGGUCUGAGAGGAUGAUCAGCCACACUGGGACUGAGACACGGCCCAGACUCCUACGGGAGGCAGCAGUCGGGAAUCUUGCACAAUGGGCGAAAGCCUGAUGCAGCAACACCGUGUGAGCGAGGAAGGCCUUCGGGUCGUAAAGCUCUGUUGUUGGGGAAGAAGGGCGAAGGGUUAAUAGCCCCUAGCUUGACGGUACCCUUCUAGAAAGCCCCGGCUAACUACGUGCCAGCAGCCGCGGUAAUACGUAGGGGGCGAGCGUUGUCCGGAAUUAUUGGGCGUAAAGAGCGUGUAGGCGGUUCGGUAAGUCUGUCGUGAAAACCUGGGGCUCAACCCCGGGCGUGCGAUGGAUACUGCCGAGCUAGAGGGUGGUAGAGGCGAGUGGAAUUCCCAGUGUAGCGGUGAAAUGCGCAG
rnacentral:rRNA from 1 species